CCAUAAGUGUGCUGAGCCAAAGGGUAAGUUGUUGUACCUUGGAAAUGGUAAAAAAAAAAAAGAUCAUGUGACCAAACAGGAGGACAGCAUCGUUUAAUGACGUUUGUGAAGGUAGGAAGCUGGAGGGUUCAUUGGUUGGACUGUCUGAUGUCCAACAGAUUCAUCCCCAUCAGAACGACAAACUCUGAUAACAUUUCCUAAAAUCCACCUCUUCAUACCUUCUGGUACAAAUGUUUUAUUUUUUAUUUGUGUGCAUCUUUGACGCGGCCCCCCGCUGACGGCCUCAGCUCGUCGUUCCUCAGGUCCAGCCGUCUCAGACUACAGAGCUCCACCAGCCUGAGGACGUCACAAAUAUCCUCUGACCGCCAGUGUUGGGUAAGUUACUUUAAAAAUGUAAUCCGUUACUACCCAACACUGCUGACCGCUCACAGUCACACACCCUAAAUCAGAGGGAGACAAACUGCUGAGUCCUGCAGGUCGCUGCUGCUCAGGUCCAACUCUUCAAGAACUGAGGACAAAGUUUCACAGCUUCCCUUUGACAAGUUACAGCAGAUAAACCCAGAACAACGAGACGUUUGACCUUUACUCUGUAUAUUCCUGUCAGUGUGAGGCGCUGUGGAGCGUAGUACAAGUACAAGCCGUUUAUCAUGUGGUGUCUUUGAUUAAGAAAUGUGUUUUUAAAGAUUUAUUUCUGAUCUAAGAUAUAUUGUAAUGCUGUCUACUUUCUCAUUAGCUGCUGGUGCAGCAGUGAGUUUUACAUCAUUCAUGACGUAAUUCUGUCUCUGUCCUAAAGCGACGGUCCGACUGUCUGAUCGCCUCGGCCUCUUCCCGUCUGUCCAACAGGGAGGCUGCACUACUGCAUGUUGAAUGUCUGCAGGCUCUUUACCAGAGAUUUGGAAUCAGGUAAAUUACUUCAAGAAAGUUACUAAGUGGUGCUUGAAAGCUUCAAACCAGAGAAAAAAGUUCUUACUGUUUUUUAAACCACAUUCUUUAAACUUUAAAGAUCAGAAAUACCAACAAUGUGUUGCUCUCUAGUUCAACUGGUCUGUCGUUUUUAACUAAAGCAACAUGGAAACCAUUGACUAAUUUCUGAAAAGCACUGCCAAGGCUCAGUCUGUCUCCCAUAAGAUUCUGGCUGGGAAAACGUCCCAUUAUAACUCUAAAGGUCCAGUAAUUGUGACCUGAGAGUUUCCAGUUGACAGUGAGGACUCUUCAGCCCAGCAGCUCCAGGCCUGGAUUUCUUUACCCUAUUUGGUACUCAGGUCCAGCUCUCCCAGACUGCAGGACUGAGAGCUAAAGGCUGAACACAGAGCUGCACAACGUCUCUCUGAAAGGUUGCAGCCAGUCAGCCUGGAGAAGCUGACAUGAUGAGUGAAAGUGCAGUAAAUGGUUUUCUGAUGGGCUCGUCAUGAUAAAUGUCCGCUGAAGCUCUCAGUGACGUCUGGGAGGUUUUAACCACUGGCAGGACAGCAUGGAGAACAUUUUUCAGGUCAAACACAAGUAGAUCUUUUAGUGAUGAAAGUGAAAUGAAGACCAAUGAGAAGGAGAGUUCAUUUCUGUUUGUGAUUCCAGGAACUGCUGGACCUCGUCCACUGGAGAACUGUCCAUCAGAGAAGGACCGUCUCUGAUUUUAUUUUUAACGUGAUCAGCAGUUAGCUGUCUACUUCCUGUCUGUGGAAGUAGAUCUUCAAGAUGAAGCUGACUUCUUUGCAGAAAAAGACCAAGGAGAGAGUGAAGAAAUGUGUCCGUCUGAACUCUUCAGGACUUUGUUGAUGAUUUCACAGACGGUUUCCUGCUUUUGGCUUUUGGCUGCAAACGAAGCCUGGAAUUUGGAAAACAAUGCUCCUCCUUGAAGGACUGUGAGAAGACUUCUGGAUAGACAGAAAAAUCCUCCAAGCUGUUAACGUCCUCCUCCUUUAUGCUUUCCACAGAAAAUGACUGUUUCAUCAAUGUCUUGAGGUACUUCAAGCUUUUUGAUUUGCCAAACUUUUGUUUCAUGGUUUGCAUCUGAACCAUGAGGAUCUCAAUGUAAAUCCCAGUUAAAGUACUGGGCAGUCCUCCUCCAGUGCUGGUCUUUAACAGCAGGGACCCAGCAGCCCUAUGGACCUGCUCUCCGUCUCCGAAUCUCCUCCUGCUGUUGCUCAGUGAAUCCUCGGCGCUCUGUGUCCAUGUGGAUGAAUUCAGGAGGAAUCUGACCAGAGCCUGAAGGUCGGGAGCCGAUCCAGAGGCAGCCGAGGGAAGCAGGUCAGGUUUGUUACAUCAACAGACAGUUUUUCUGCAGCAGUGAAGUUCAGUGGAAGUCGACUCACAUCCAGCCCAUCCAAUACAAAAAUGAUUUUAUAUUCACUCUUAUCAAAAUGAGAGUUUCCUGAAGAUGUGUACAGUUCCAGGAAAACGUGUGGAUCAGUUCAGACAGGCUGAUCGUCUCCUGCCUGGGAAAAUUCACCAGGUUAAACAUCAGAUGGACAUCCUGACCGGUUCUGUCUUCUGUCCAGUCAAGAACAAAUUUGUGAACCAAGAAGGUUUUUCCUGUUGCUGCCUCUCCGCUGGUCAUCACUGUUCUGAUGUUUGUUUUUGCUCCUGUGUAAAUAUGUUGCUGAUUUUUGGUUCAGACGGUUUUCCAACUGCCGUUUCAAUUCUUCUGAUGAACCUGGAGAUGGGCUGGUCUCCUGCUGUGACGUCCGGCUCAUCUAGACUGACCGUAUUCCUAUUGGACGUCCACCCUUCAUGACAGAGACACACCUGGGACAGAAAAUGAAUCAGUAACUUGUUGCUUCUAUUUAAUCAGUUCAAAAAACAAACUUUGAUAAAUCCUAACCAGCUGCCUGAUGAAUUACCUUGCACAGGUCU